rnacentral:rRNA from 1 species
AUACGGAGGAUGCAAGCGUUAUCCGGAUUUAUUGGGUUUAAAGGGUGCGUAGGCGGUUUGCUAAGCGGGAGGUGAAAUGCCGGCGCUCAACGUCGGAAGUGCCUCCCGAACUGGUGGACUUGAAUGACUCUGCCGUGGGAGGAAUGUGUAGUGUAGCGGUGAAAUGCUUAGAGAUUACACAGAACACCGACUGCGAAGGCAUCUCACGAAGGGUUGAUUGACGCUGAGGCACGAAAGCGUGGGGAUCAAACAGGAUUAGAUACCCUGGUAGUCCACGCAGUAAACGAUGAUGGCUAACCGCUGGGCUUAUCAGUUCAGUGGCCAAGCGAAAGCGAUAAGCCAUCCACCUGGGGAGUACGACCGCAAGGUUGAAACUCAAAUGAAUUGACGGGG